rnacentral:rRNA from 1 species
AUUGAACGCUGGCGGCAGGCCUAACACAUGCAAGUCGAGCGGAGCGAGGGACGGGCGAGUAAUGACUAGGAAUCAGCCUGGUAGUGGGGGAGAAAGACCGGAAGCGGGCGCUAAUACCGCAUACAUGCAGAUGAGCUUAGGUUGGAGUAGCUAGUUGGUGGGGUAACGGCCUACCAAGGCGACGAUCCGUAACUGGUCGGAGAGGAUGCUCAGGCACACUGGAACUGAGACACGGUCCAGACUCCUACGGGAGGCAGCAGUGGGGAAUAUUGGACAAUGGGCGAAAGCCUGAUCCAGCCAUGCCGCGUGUGUGAAGAAGGUCUUCGGAUUGUAAAGCACUUUUAGUUGGGAGGCGUUACCAACAGAAUAAGCACCGGCUAACUUCGUGCCAGCAGCCGCGGUAAUAC